UCUUGGCUCCAUCGAAGCCAUGGAAUUCUUUCUGUUUUCUGUGGUCAUAUAUGAGCCUAGACUACUUCUUUCAGACGGUCGCUAUGUACCUUGAUCGUGUGGUAUCUAGCAUUACCAAAUGGAAGAAACAUGU